UCCUGCCUGACUCAGGCCAAGGUGGGCACUCGUGGCUCGUUCUUAGACCUUCCAACUCUGGGGCAGGAGUAGCCCUGUCCUAGGAGUGGCCCUGCUGUGCCAGGGCCCCAGGGACAACCCCAUCCUGCUGGACUGGCCAGGAUGAUACCAUUCAAAUGACACUGGCUGCUCUGGACGAGACGGAGGCAGUCACAUUCUUGGCAACACCAAGGGGGAGCCCAGAUGCCGCAGUGAUGGGCACUGAGCUGAGACCCAAGAGAGACCACAUCUGUGCAGACCAUACAUGGUGGCACAGACUCUCCCAGAGCGCUGCAAUUUCCUGUGCCAGUCAUCCGAGGGGAAGGCUCAGGCAGUUACUGAUCCAUGAGAAGACCUUCCCUUUUGUCCCAUGA